GGAGAAGUCGCCUAGUUGGUCGAGGGCGCGCGACUGGAAAUCGCGUAACCCGUAACAGGGUUCGAGAGUUCGAAUCUCUCCUUCUCCGCCA
rnacentral:tRNA from 1 species